rnacentral:rRNA from 1 species
AUUGAACGCUGGCGGAAUGCUUUACACAUGCAAGUCGAACGGCAGCACGGGGGCAACCCUGGUGGCGAGUGGCGAACGGGUGAGUAAUACAUCGGAACGUGCCCGGUCGUGGGGGAUAACGUAGCGAAAGUUACGCUAAUACCGCAUACGAUCUGAGGAUGAAAGCGGGGGACCUUCGGGCCUAGCGCGAUCGGAGCGGCCGAUGUCAGAUUAGGUAGUUGGUGGGGUAAAGGCCUACCAAGCCGACGAUCUGUAGCUGGUCUGAGAGGACGACCAGCCACACUGGGACUGAGACACGGCCCAGACUCCUACGGGAGGCAGCAGUGGGGAAUUUUGGACAAUGGGCGCAAGCCUGAUCCAGCCAUUCCGCGUGCAGGACGAAGGCCUUCGGGUUGUAAACUGCUUUUGUAUGGAACGAAAAGGCUCUGGCUAAUACCUGGGGCUCAUGACGGUACCGUAAGAAUAAGCACCGGCUAACUACGUG